rnacentral:RNase_MRP_RNA from 1 species
GAUAAGUCAUGAUGGCCCCGCUUUCAUACAGAACAAAUUCGCCGUCCUCACCGUCUCCUGCGCUUUCGACCAAUAUUGGUAUCUUCCCGAGAGGAUUGUACUUUUUUACUGUUUCGGACUGGGGA